UAGUGCUACUGCUUGAAAGAGCCAUUGAAUUUAAUACUUUUAUGAGAAAUGUGAGUGUUUUUUGGUAUGUGAUUUUCUUGUUUUUUGGGUACCUGAAAUUGAGGAAGAUGGAGGGUACCUGAAGAAGAAGGAGAGAUGGAAUGGGGUUUUAUAAGGAGGUUUUUUGGUAGUGGGAAGGUGGUUGGAGAGAGGAAGGAGAGAAUGGAAACAAAUGGAUUAUUGUUAGGUAAAGGGUAUUUUAGGUAUAACAUAUUACUCCACUAAACACCUACUUAAUUUGCACAUCAGUAGUAUUUUUUUGGGUAGAAAACGUAGAUAAACUUAGCAAAGUGACAUAAUAAUAUGUUGUUGUCAAAAGAAAAAUGGAGUUUGUCUGUGUGACAAUUUAAGGAAAUGAAAACAGAUGAUGAAUUUUUACUUUUUUAGGAGAAAAGAGGAGAACAAUAGACAAAGUGUGUGUUCUCCAUUUUCCUUUUUCUAAUUAUGUGAAUUCUGUGUUUAAAAAUAAUGAAAAUUGAAAGAUUUAACCGGCUCAUACUUCUAAGU
rnacentral:lncRNA from 1 species